UACAGAGGGUGCAAGCGUUACUCGGAAUUACUGGGCGUAAAGCGCGUGUAGGUGGUUUUAUAAGUUUGAUGUGAAAGCCCUGGGCUUAACCUGGGAAUGGCGUUGAAAACUGUAAGACUUGAGUCGGACAGAGGGUGGUGGAAUUUCCGGUGUAGCAGUGAAAUGCGUAGAGAUCGGAAAGAACACCCGUGGCGAAGGCGGCCACCUGGGUCCAGACUGACACUGAGGCGCGAAAGCUAGGGGAGCAAACGGG
rnacentral:rRNA from 1 species